rnacentral:rRNA from 1 species
CGGCUAUAGCCUCAGCAGCGGCGAGUGAAGCGGCAAAAGCUCAAAUUUGAAAUCUGGCGUCUUUGGCGUCCGAGUUGUAAUUUGAAGAAGGUAUCUUUGGGCCCGGCUCUUGUCUAUGUUCCUUGGAACAGGACGUCACAGAGGGUGAGAAUCCCGUGCGAUGAGAUGACCCGGGUCUGUGUAAAGUUCCUUCGACGAGUCGAGUUGUUUGGGAAUGCAGCUCUAAGUGGGUGGUAAAUUCCAUCUAAAGCUAAAUAUUGGCGAGAGACCGAUAGCGAACAAGUACAGUGAUGGAAAGAUGAAAAGAACUUUGAAAAGAGAGUGAAAAAGUACGUGAAAUUGUUGAAAGGGAAGGGCUUGAGAUCAGACUUGGUAUUUUGCAUGUUGCUCUCUCGGGGGCGGCCGCUGCGGUUUACCGGGCCAGCAUCGGUUUGGAGCGGCAGGAUAAUGGCGGAGGAAUGUGGCACGGCUUCUGCUGUGUGUUAUAGCCUCUGACGAUACUGCCAGCCUAGACCGAGGACUGCGGUUUUUACCUAGGAUGUUGGCAUAAUGAUCUUAAGUCGCCCGUCUGAAAUUGGGAACCCACCA